rnacentral:rRNA from 1 species
GAUGAACGCUGGCGGCGUGCCUAACACAUGCAAGUCGAACGGAGUCCAGCCUUUAAGACCUUCGGGUCAAAGAGGGGAAGACUGAGUGGCAGACGGGUGAGUAACACGUGGGCAACCUGGCUCAUAGAGGGGGAUAACAGAGAGAAAUUUCUGCUAAUACCGCAUAAGCACACACUGCCGCAUGGCAGAGGGUGAAAAGAGAAUCGCUAUGAGAUGGACCCGCGUCUGAUUAGCCAGUUGGCAGGGUAAGAGCCUACCAAAGCGACGAUCAGUAGCCGAUCUGAGAGGAUGAACGGCCACAUUGGGACUGAGACACGGCCCAAACUCCUACGGGAGGCAGCAGUGGGGGAUAUUGCACAAUGGGGGGAACCCUGAUGCAGCGACGCCGCGUGAGUGAAGAAGUAUUUCGGUAUGUAAAGCUCUAUCAGCAGGGAAGAUAAUGACAGUACCUGAAUAAGAAGCCCCGGCUAACUACGUG